UUCAUUUGCAGUGAGGUCAUGGUGCUUUGUAAGGAACAACCUAGUCAUUUCCAUGGCAACACACUCUAUCAAAACAUCACCAACCUAUCUGCCCCUUACGUCUAAACUCUCAAGAGUAGGGAGGAGGGGCUGGGAAGGAACAGUAUUGUUCUUAUGGCUUGGAGGUAUAGGUUCAGAGAGAAGAGAGGACAGUUUUUUUCAGGAUGGAAAAAUGAAGAUCCCAAACCCUUGAUUCUAAGAUCAUCAUUUAGUGUCUGACAACAGUAAAGGAAUAAGAAGAGGCGGAGUUACAUGAAAUGCGUAAACAUGUUACCCUCUAGUCAUGAGAAUUUUACUUAAGAAUUUUUUAUUUGUUUGUUUUGGUGGUAAUGGGGACUGAACUCACAGCUUUUAUGCUGAGUGACAUCUCCAGCCUAUUUCUUAUUUAUAAUUUUGAGACAGGGUCUCCCUAAGUUGCUUAGUUACCCG
rnacentral:lncRNA from 1 species